GAAGUCCGCCUUAAUUGGAUUGAGUGGAGGCUCAGGGCUGCCUUUCGUUUGUUUUAGCCAGACGCCAGGUUUUAGGCUGCCACCAGAGGCGGGGCAUAGGCACUAAAGCAACAAGACAAUAGAAGCCUACAUCUUGCCCAAGAUAAUUAGCUUACAUGCUGAUGACAAGACCACAGGGUCAUCACUUCUCAGGGAUGGAAAAUCUGGAGAGGAAGGAGUGGAAGAUGUGAUCAAACUCAAGAUUUGGUAGGUGGAGUCAGACUGGAGCCCAACACAAUAGACCUCCAAGUUAGUAUGGAGCAACUAGCUGAAAGAAAAGAAGAGGGCAAUGAAUGUUCAUAGUUUUUGCCAUACUUUCAAUGACUUGUUACACUGUUACCCUGGCUCCUCUACAUUAUCAUCAUUUACCAUGAAAAUAGGGAGGGAGAGAGCAAAGACAAUAUAGGAGGAAGCGAAAACAGAAAAUCCAGGCAGUAGGGACACACCAACAGAAUGACAAAGAAAGUUUAUUCCAUGAGACACAGUGCCCCUCUUAAUGGCCUCUGACAAGAAACACUGCCUCCAGGAAUGAAGGCAUUGGAGAAUGAGAAGAGUGGUGGGAAAAGACCUAAGGAAAAGAAAGCUGCUGAUGUAAUACAAUGAGAUCAUGUCCUGCACUGGAGUAUGGAAGGACAAGAUUGACUACCACCUACAUCAGUAAUUAUAUGUACAUUGGUUUCCACAACUGGAUCCAGAAUAAAUCAUGGACAACCUUACCUUAGAAUAACAUUGUCUGCAGAAACAAGCACAUAACUUAGGUGAACUUGUUUAUGUAUCAUCGCUGGAUAAAUAAAAACCUGAGCUAGCAGUGCUUAUGUCUGUUGAGCCAGACUUGAUCAUUGUACCAGAUCCCUGUGUCAAGCCAAAUUAUACUGGGCACAGGGCCUAAGGAGAGGAAAAGGUUUCCCUAAGUCCCUUACCUGAUCUUGCAGCUGGUUCAGCCUCUGGCAUAAGUUUGGGAGGGAAAAGUUGUCUGUGCCUGCUUUAUGGCACCCAGUGAUUUCCCUGCAUGAGAUGAAUCCCUAGAAGUUCUUUUGGAGAUUUUCAGGGGCUUUGUAAAGUAGCCAGAAGGAGGUCUCAGGAUCUGGCCUGUUAUGAGUUUUUACAAUAUAUAACAAUAGUACUUUGCACUCACACCUCACCUUUCAUUCAAGAAUCCGAAAGCACUUUACAAGUGUUAAUGGACUUAGCUUCACGAGUUCCCUGUGAAGUGGGGAAUUAUUAUUAUUAUCCCUAUUUCAGUGCUGAGGGAGCAGGCACAGAGUAGAUAUAUGUGACUUGCCCAAGGUUAAGUGGGAAAUAUUUGGACAAGGAAUAGAGUAAAUCCUGGUCUCCCAAAUAUUGCGCCUGUCUCUUAACCAUGAGAUCUUCUCUCCCCCCAAGCUUAGUUUGGUGAACCCCCUUUAAAUGUUUGUAUUAAAACCUAAGUGGGUCAGGUCUCAUUUUCCUGGAGCUCCCCUCUGAGAAAAGAUAUUUUGGUGAAAGGAUGAAGAAGUUUACAUCUUUUAAAGCAAGACGUUCCCCUGCCUAUGUGGUUGCAUGCACUCCCUUGGUAGCAGAACCAGUGCAGUUUUGCUGCCUAAGUAAGGAAACAGGAUAUGACAGAGUGUAUAGGGAGUGCAACUCCAUGCUAUAUAUCACAUCAGGUCUCUGAGAGCCGCUUGCAUGCAGUGCAUAGGGGGAGAUGGAAAAGGGAGAAGAGGGGGUAGGGGGAAUCAAGAGAUCCACAUCUUUAUGAAUCGUUCCAUCCACCUCUCCAAAGAGGCUGUUUAUAGGUCUGUGAAACCUUCUUCGGUAUAAGCAUAAUCUUCAUAGAAUUACUAUGAAGCCACGUUUUGGCCUGAAAGAAUGUUUGCCUUCCCCUGCAAUCUGUUAGAACAUGCACAUGACAGGGCAUGUGAUUUUUAAAGGAAAGAGAAUUUGUCACUCAGCUUCUGGUGCUUGCCCUGGAAAGA